UACGAAGGGUGCAAGCGUUACUCGGAAUUACUGGGCGUAAAGCGUGCGUAGGUGGUUUUUUAAGUCCGUUGUGAAAGCCCUGGGCUCAACCUGGGAAUGGCAGUGGAUACUGGAAAGCUAGAGUCCGGAAGAGGAGAGUGGAAUUCCUGGUGUAGCGGUGAAAUGCGCAGAUAUCAGGAAGAACACCCAUGGCGAAGGCAGCUCUCUGGGACGGUACUGACGCUGAGACGCGAAAGCGUGGGGAGCGAACAGG
rnacentral:rRNA from 1 species